ensembl:lncRNA
AUGUUGCCGGUGCUUAAUUUGUAAAUUGGGAGGUCCCGGAACACGUUGGGGCGCACGAGAGAGAUGGAUCCGGUGGGCAUAGAUCCGGAACGCAUAACUCUGUUGACCGAGCCGGGGGUGGGGCGCGCUUAGAGAUUGUCUUUUCACCUACUAGCUCCGGCAGAACGACGCGAAUGCUGCACAUCGGUAGGUCAGAUAGCGGACAAUAAGAAGCUAAAACUUUCACAAUCUUGUCAGGCGGUACUGAGGCUACAAACAAUUGAGCUGCAGGAAUAGGAAACAGAUACUGGACCCAUGGAGAUCAAAUAGAUGCAAGUGAAAGCAAGAAAACAAGGUCCAGUGGAUUCGUAACAGAUAACUUUCAACGGAUCAACAUCCAUUUUUUCAUUGUUCAAGUUUCACGUCUGUGAGUCUAUUCACUGCCAUCCACAUGCCUGGGGAUUUUUGGCCACUUAGAAUUCUGAAAACAAAAGGUGUGUAGUUGUAGGCUCACACAGAGUGCGUGAUGCAUGUCACAGAGAUGGACUUCGCAUGUCCGUUGGAGUGCGUGAUGCAUGUCACAGAGAUGGACUUCGCAUGUCCGUUGGAGUGCGUGAUGCAUGUCACAGAGACGGACUUCGCAUGUCCAUUGGAGUGCGUGAUGCAUGUCACAGACGGACGACGCAUGCCCAUUGGAGUGCGUGAUGCAUGUCAUGGAGACGGACGACGUAUGCCCGUUGGAGUGCGUGAUGCAUGUCACGGAGACGGACGACGUAUGCCCGUUGGAGUGCGUGAUGCAUGUCACGGAGACGGACGACGGAUGUCCGUUGGAGUGUGUGAUGCAUGUCACAGACGGACGACGCAUGCCCAUUGGAGUGCGUGAUGCAUGUCACGGAGACGGACGACGUAUGCCCGUUGGAGUGCGUGAUGCAUGUCACGGAGACGGACGACGUAUGCCCGUUGGAGUGCGUGAUGCAUGUCACGGAGACGAACGACGGAUGUCCGUUGGAGUGUGUGAUGCAUGUCAUGGAGACGGACGACGCAUAUCCGUUGGAGUGUGUGAUGCAUUUCACGGAGACGGACUUCGCAUGCCCAUGGAGUGCAUGAUGCAUGUCACGGAGACGGACGACGCAUGUCCGUUGGAGUGCGUGAUGCAUUUCACGGAGACGGACGACGCAUGUCCGUUGGAGUGCGUGAUGCGGGUAACAAAGACGGACGACACAUGCCCGUUGGAGUGCGUGAUGCGGGUAACAAAGAUUGACGACGCAUGCCCGUUGGAGUGCAUGAUGCAUGUCACGGAGACGGACGACGCAUGUCCGUUGGAGUGCGUGAUGCAUUUCACGGAGACGGACGACGCAUGCCCGUUGGAGUGCGUGAUGCGGGUAACAAAGACGGACGACACAUGCCCGUUGGAGUGCGUGAUGCGGGUAACAAAGAUUGACGACGCAUGCCCGUUGGAGUGCAUGAUGCAUGUCACGGAGACGGACGACGCAUGUCCGUUGGAGUGCGUGAUGCAUUUCACGGAGACGGACGACGCAUGCCCGUUGGAGUGCGUGAUGCGGGUAACAAAGACGGACGACACAUGCCCGUUGGAGUGCGUGAUGCGGGUAACAAAGAUUGACGACGCAUGCCCGUUGGAGUGCGUGAUGCAGGUAACAAAGAUUGACGACACAUGCCCGUUGGAGUGCGUGAUGCGGGUAGCAAAGACAGACGACGCAUGCCCGUUGGAGUGCGUGAUGCGUGUCAUGGAGACAGCGGGCAAGUCAACUGGAAUGAGCACUACUGUAUAUAGCAAAGGGGCAUGUGCUCUGCCCAGAUUGAGCCUUACCUGUACAUAUGCUUGGUUCUAUUCAUUAGUUACCAAACAUAAGAAACCAAACUGUCAACUAUUGGUACAUGUUUGUAAAAGGUCAGUAAUGAUCUUGUGGGUACAUUCUAACCUUGAGCAAUGAUUUGUGUGAUGAGAUGUCUGUGAUCAUGUGUAUAAAUCUAUGCAUCUGUUUAGAUAGCUUCUUGCAAUGGGGCCUGUAGCAUUAAAAAAAAAAUCACCAGAGGGAAUGUGAAAUCACUGAUGGAAAUAAAUUGUUGGUUGACUGUCCCUUUCAUAACCGGCCAUAUAAUCCCAUCCCUAGUGGACAGUUACCCUGGGUGACUGACAACAUGUUGCUCUACACAUAUAACACACACACACUAUGCUGGAGCCCACUUAUUUGGUUCUGAAUAUGAAAUGAGAGGAGUCAUGUAAUGUGUUUUCCUUGUCUCACACUUCCUCACACACACACACACACACUCUCCCACUCUAUCUAUCCAUUUUUAUCUCUCUCGAUCUCUCUCUUCUAGCAGCAAGGAGGGUUACAGAGGAUGCUGUUGGAUGACAGUGUUGCUAACCCUGGGCUUAGGCUGUCUGGCUCUGGUGUGGGUGUCAGUCUGACAGAAAGAGAGAGAGAGAGUCACACAGAAACAGAGAGAUCACAUGUGGAGAGGGGAGGAAAAAAGAGAAAGAGAGGGAGACAGAGGGUGAAGAGAACACAGUGCAAAUCAAAAGAGAGAGAAAUAGAGAUAGAGACAGGCAGCAUGUACCAAUGUGUUGUGAGGCCAGGCUACUGAAGAGUCUGAGGCAUAGUGAGUGUGUCAAUGUUAGGGAGUGGUGAACUACAUGUUGUUCAGCUUCACAUUUAACUACAUUUAGCAUUAGCUUGGUGGUGGCUGAACUAAAUUCAUAUUUAACUACUGUUUUCAGUAGCUAAUUACUUGGCAUGUAUUGUCGUUGUUCACUUUUUCCUUUUCACACAAAAAGUUAAAAUGGAUGAAUUAGGCAAAACAAAUAGAUUUUUCGACCUGGUUGAUUCUUACUUGUUUUAUAGGCUAAAUAACAUUCUUGAGGUGGGAGCAUAUGGCCGUUUAUUGAUGGUUGCUGAUUCAAAUCCGAUUAUGUGGGAAGCAUCUGUCAGUGAGCAAGGCACUUAACAUACAUUUCCUUCCAGAGCUGCUGUUAAAAAUGGUCCCGGUUACCUCCUGUACACGUGUACGGUUGCAGCGUGGGUUCAAAUCCUGUCCAUCAGUCUGUCGCAACAAGGAGAUACACGCAGCUACUGAUUUCUAAGGACGGUGUCUUGCUCAGUGUGUAUUGGAAUAGAAUGAGCCCUGACGUAGAAGGACGGUGUCUUGUAGGUCCUUCCAGCUUCGUUUACAGACUUGAAAAAAUUUUUAUGUUGUUGUCUGAAUACAUUAAAAAAAAUCUGACACUGGCAAAUAAACAAUUCUACUAUCACCAGAAA